GUAGCAAAAUAAUUUGUUCUUUAAUUGGGAGUUGGUAUGAAAGGUUAUACAAAAAAUAUCUUUUAAGUUAAAUAAAGUAAUUUGAAUUUCAAGUUAAAAUGCUUGAAUAUUGUAAAGGGACGAUAAGACCCUAAAAGCUUUAAUUAUUUAUAAAUUAUUUAAAUUUAUUGUAAGUAGUAAUUUGAUAGUAAUAUUAGCUGGGGAAGUGGUUUUGAUAUUAAUCAAAAUUUUAAUCAACUUAUAUAUAGGAUAAUGAUCUUUUUAUAAAGAUAAAUAGAGAAAGUUACUUUAGGGAUAACAGCGCAAUGAUCUUGGAAAGUUCUUAUUUAUAGGAUUAUGUGCGACCUCGAUGUUGAAUUAAAUUAUCUUAAAGGAGUAGAAGAUUUAUAAGAGGGUUUGUUCAACCUUUAAAUUUUU
rnacentral:rRNA from 1 species